CCUACGGGUGGCAGCAGUGGGGAAUAUUGCACAAUGGGGGAAACCCUGAUGCAGCGACGCCGCGUGAGUGAAGAAGGAUUUCGGUACGUAAAGCUCUAUCAGCAGGGAAGAAAAUGACGGUACCUGACUAAGCAGCUCCGGCUAACUACGUGCCAGCAGCCGCGGUACUACGUAGGGGGCAAGGGUUAUCCGGAUUUACUGGGUGUAAAGGGAGCGUAGACGGCAGGGCAAGUCUGGAGUGAAAUCCCAUGGCUGAACCAUGGAACUGCUUUGGAUACUGUGCGGCUGGAGUGCAGUAGAGGUAAGCGGAAUUCGUAGUGUAGCGGUGAAAUGCGUAGAUAUUAGGAGGAACCCCAGUGGCGAAGGCAGCUUACUGGACUGUCACUGACGUUGAGGCUCGAAAGCGUGGGGAGCAAACAGGAUUAGAUACCCUUGUAGUC
rnacentral:rRNA from 1 species